rnacentral:rRNA from 1 species
UAGGUGGCAAGCGUUGUCCGGAUUUACUGGGUGUAAAGGGCGAGUAGGCGGGCAAACAAGUCAGAUGUGAAAUCCCGGGGCUUAACCCCGGAACUGCAUUUGAAACUGUAGGUCUUGAGUGAUGGAGAGGCAGGCGGAAUUCCCGGUGUAGCGGUGGAAUGCGUAGAUAUCGGGAGGAACACCAGUGGCGAAGGCGGCCUGCUGGACAUUAACUGACGCUGAGGAGCGAAAGCGUGGGGAGCAAA